GAUGAACGCUGGCGGCGUGCCUAAUACAUGCAAGUCGAGCGAACGGACGAGAAGCUUGCUUCUCUGAUGUUAGCGGCGGACGGGUGAGUAACACGUGGAUAACCUACCUAUAAGACUGGGAUAACUUCGGGAAACCGGAGCUAAUACCGGGUGAUAUUUUGAACCGCAUGGUUCAAAAGUGAAAGACGGUCUUGCUGUCACUUAUAGAUGUAUCCGCGCUGCAUUAGCUAGUUGGUAAGGUAACGGCUUACCAAGGCAACGAUGCAUAGCCGACCUGAGAGGGUGAUCGGCCACACUGGAACUGAGACACGGUCCAGACUCCUACGGGAGGCAGCAGUAGGGAAUCUUCCGCAAUGGGCGAAAGCCUGACGGAGCAACGCCGCGUGAGUGAUGAAGGUCUUCGGAUCGUAAAACUCUGUUAUUAGGGAAGAACAUAUGUGUAAGUAACUGUGCACAUCUUGACGGUACCUAAUCAGAAAGCCACGGCUAACUACGUGCCAGCAGCCGCGGUAAUACGUAGGUGGCAAGCGUUAUCCGGAAUUAUUGGGCGUAAAGCGCGCGUAGGCGGUUUUUUAAGUCUGAUGUGAAAGCCCACGGCUCAACCGUGGAGGGUCAUUGGAAACUGGAAAACUUGAGUGCAGAAGAGGAAAGUGGAAUUCCAUGUGUAGCGGUGAAAUGCGCAGAGAUAUGGAGGAACACCAGUGGCGAAGGCGACUUUCUGGUCUGUAACUGACGCUGAUGUGCGAAAGCGUGGGGAUCAAACAGGAUUAGAUACCCUGGUAGUCCACGCCGUAAACGAUGAGUGCUAAGUGUUAGGGGGUUUCCGCCCCUUAGUGCUGCAGCUAACGCAUUAAGCACUCCGCCUGGGGAGUACGACCGCAAGGUUGAAACUCAAAGGAAUUGACGGGGACCCGCACAAGCGGUGGAGCAUGUGGUUUAAUUCGAAGCAACGCGAAGAACCUUACCAAAUCUUGACAUCCUUUGACAACUCUAGAGAUAGAGCCUUCCCCUUCGGGGGACAAAGUGACAGGUGGUGCAUGGUUGUCGUCAGCUCGUGUCGUGAGAUGUUGGGUUAAGUCCCGCAACGAGCGCAACCCUUAAGCUUAGUUGCCAUCAUUAAGUUGGGCACUCUAAGUUGACUGCCGGUGACAAACCGGAGGAAGGUGGGGAUGACGUCAAAUCAUCAUGCCCCUUAUGAUUUGGGCUACACACGUGCUACAAUGGACAAUACAAAGGGCAGCGAAACCGCGAGGUCAAGCAAAUCCCAUAAAGUUGUUCUCAGUUCGGAUUGUAGUCUGCAACUCGACUACAUGAAGCUGGAAUCGCUAGUAAUCGUAGAUCAGCAUGCUACGGUGAAUACGUUCCCGGGUCU
rnacentral:rRNA from 1 species